ensembl:snRNA U1 U1 spliceosomal RNA
AUACUUACUGGCAGGGGAGAUACCAUGAUCAUGAAGGUGGUUUUCCCAGCAUGAGGCUCAUCCAUUGCACUCCAGAUGUGUUGACCCCUGCAAUUUCCCCAAACAUGGGAAAUUCAACUUCAUAAUUUGUAGUAGUGGGGGACUGUGUUUGUGCUUUCCCCUG